ACAUGAUGGAGCAUGUGCCCACUUGAAAUAGGAUGAUAAGGGAAGACCAUUUAAUAGGAACACAGGGGCUAUCUUCUCUAAGGAGGUGAAAUUCGAGCAGAGACAGAAAGUACAUGAGCUGGUGACUCAGGAAGAAGAACUCUUCUUGACAAAGAAAAAAACGUGAAAUGGUUUUAAAGAGGGAAUGUGUUGGGGUCUUUGAGAAACUGCAAGUUGGUCAGGGAUUCAGAAGUGAAAGCAAACUGGGCAGGAAUAGAAAGAGCUGAGAUCAGAAAGGCAAUGGGCAAGACCCUGGAUCCCAACUGGGCAGGAAUAGAAAGAGCUGAGAUCAGAAAGGCAAUGGGCAAGACCCUGGAUCCCAACUGGGCAGGAAUAGAAAGAGCUGAGAUCAGAAAGGCAAUGGGCAAGACCCUGGAUCCCUGUACACACCUAGCAAGGACUCUGAUGUUUUUUUCUAGAUGUGAUGGGAAGGGUUUGGAGAAUUCUGAGCAUGCAAAAGACAUGCCUUGAUUUUUAUAUUCUUAAGAAUCAUUGUGACUUCACUAUGAAAUACAGAGCAUAGGGGGUGAGAAUGAAAACAGGGAGAUGAGGCAGGAGGCUCUUGCCCUAGCCCAGGAGAGAGUGGAUUAUAUCUUAGACCAGCAUGGAAUCUUGAGAAGAUGAGCUAUGUAUUAAAGGUAAGGCCAACAGGAUCUGAUGAUGGAUUUGGUGUGUUGUCACAGAAGAGGAGAGGUGUGAGAAAGGCUCCAAGGAUCAUGGCCGGAGUGACCAGCGAAGAGAGAAGAGAACCCACUUGUUACCUGGAAAUACCGGGAAAGGAGCAAGUUUUGGAGUGUGGGUGAAGGGCAGUCAAGAAGUCUGUCUUGAAUGUCAAGUAGAAAUCAGGUCACUCCUCGACUCAGAGUCUUCCAGUGGCAUCCCAUCUCUCUCAUGACAAAGGCAACAUCCUCACAGUGACCCAGAUUCCUGAAUGACCUCCUCUCCUACCCCUCUUCUCUUCUCUUGCUCUACUCCAGGUACACUGGCUGUAUUUGUCCAGCUGCUGAUAAAGACAUACCUCAGACUGGGCAAUUUAUGAAAGAGGUUUAAUAGACUCACAGUUCCACGUGGCUGGGGAGACCUCACAAUCAUGGUGGAAGGUAAAAGGCACAUCUCACAUGGCAUCAGGCAAGAGAAGAGAACUUGUGCAGGGAAACUUCCCUUUACAAAACCAUCAAAUCUCCUGAGAUUUAUUCACCAUUAUGAGAGCAGCAUGGGAAAGACCCACCCCUGUGAUUCAAUUACCUCCCACCAGGUCCCUCCCACAACACAUGGGAAUUGUGGGAGCUACAAUUCAAGAUGAGAUUUGGGUGGGGACACAGCCAAACCAUAUCACUGGCCCUCAAGGCCACUGGAGCAUGCCAUGAAGUCUGCUGCCUCGGGGUCUUUGUAUCUUCUAUCCAGAAUGCUCUUCUGCAUUUCACACCUCUAUGCCCUCUCCCCUAGACCUUCUCAGGCAUCCCAUCUAAAAGCAUAACCCUCUUUCUAUCAAUUCUCUCUGUUUUCCUUACUUUAUUUUAUUUAAUUUUUUUUUUUUGAGACAGAGUAUUGCUCUGUCCACCCAGGCUGGAGUGCAGUGGUGUGAUCUCGGCUCACUGCAAGCUCCGCCUCCCUGGGAUAAAGUGAUUCUCCUGCCUCAGCCUCCCAAGUAGCUGGGACUACAGGCACGGGCCACCAUGCCUGGCUAAUUUUUGUAUUUUUAGUAGAGAUGGGGUUUCACCAUAUUGGCCAAGCUGGUCUUGAACUCCUGACCUUGUUAUCUGCCUGCCUUGGCCUCCCAAAGUGCUGGGAUUACAAGCAUGAGCCACUGCACCCUGCCUUCCUUACUUUAUUUUUUCCUUAGCAGGCAUCACUACCUAAUAUACCACACAUGAUUUUAACCAAAAAUAUAUCAUUUUUAAUAGUCCGGUUGGUUCUCCACUGGAGGGGAAGGUCCAUGCAGGCAGGAUUUUCUUUUUAUCUGUGUCAUACUCAAUCCCUAGUGAGUCAAAGAAGACCUGGCACAUAAUAGGGGUUACAUAAACAUCUGUGGAAUGGAAGAAAGAGAGAAUAAUUUACGAAAUAAGUAGUGCUAUUAAACAGGCAUUGUACCUGCACAGGAGUCUAGAAUUUAAGGAAGAAACUUGUGACUCGUGUAUAAGGAAAUGUUUUAAAAAAAUAUUCACCAUUUAUCCAGCCCUCUUACUGAUCUCUUUUCUUAUGGACAUGAAUGUCAGAUGUGUUGUUAUUUUUAUUUUCUUUCCCUUUGAAUUAGACAAACAUAUCACCUUCAAAAAAAGAAAAGACAAUUUGUUUCUUCCUUAUUAUAUAUUUUUUUUCUUGUCUGAUUGCAUUGGGCAGGACAUUCAGAAAAAUGUUGAAUAGCAACAUAUAAGUUGCCUACAUACACCAUUUUCCAUUAAACAUUUUAAAUUGCCACAUUUUAUAGGUUGUAUACUGUGAUAUCUUGUUUUAAAAAAAC
rnacentral:lncRNA from 10 species